rnacentral:rRNA from 1 species
AGUGAACGCUGGCGGUAGGCCUAACACAUGCAAGUCGAACGGCAGCACAGGAGAGCUUGCUCUCUGGGUGGCGAGUGGCGGACGGGUGAGGAAUACAUCGGAAUCUACUUUUUCGUGAGGGAUAACGUAGGGAAACUUACGCUAAUACCGCAUACGACGUACGGGAGAAAGAAGGGGAUCUUCGGACCUUGCGCGAUUGAAGUAGCCGAAGUCGGAUUAGCUAGUUGGCGGGGUAAAGGCCCACCAAGGCGACGAUCCGUAGCUGGUCUGAGAGGAUGAUCAGCCACACUGGAACUGAGACACGGUCCAGACUCCUACGGGAGGCAGCAGUGGGGAAUAUUGGACAAUGGGCGCAAGCCUGAUCCAGCCAUACCGCGUGGGUGAAGAAGGCCUUCGGGUUGUAAAGCCCUUUUGUUGGGAAAGAAAUCCAGCUGGUUAAUACCCGGUUGGGAUGACGGUACCCAAAGAAUAAGCACCGGCUAACUUCGUGCCAGCCGCCGCCGUAA